rnacentral:rRNA from 1 species
GAUGAACGCUAGCGGCAGGCCUAAUACAUGCAAGUCGAACGGUGUCUUCGGACAUAGUGGCGCACGGGUGCGUAACACGUAUGCAACCUACCUUACAUUGGGGGAUAGCCUUUCGAAAGGGAGAUUAAUACCGCAUAAGACAGUAGCUGGGCAUCCAGCAGCUGUUAAAGAUUUAUCGAUGUAAGCUGGGCAUGCGUCCAAUUAGCUAGUUGGUGAGGUAACGGCUCACCAAGGCAAUGAUUGGUAGGGGAACUGAGAGGUCAAUCCCCCACACUGGCACUGAGAUACGGGCCAGACCCCUACGGGAGGCAGCAGUAGGGAAUAUUGGGCAAUGGACGCAAGUCUGACCCAGCCAUGCCGCGUGCAGGAUGAAGGCGUUAUGCGUUGUAAACUGCUUUUAUACAGGAAGAAACGACUCUUGCGAGAGGCAUUGACGGUACUGUAUGAGUAAGCACCGGCUAACUCCGUGCCAGCCGCCGCAGUAAUAC